GACGAACGCUGGCGGCGUGCUUAACACAUGCAAGUCGAACGGAAAGGCCCUGCUUUUGUGGGGUGCUCGAGUGGCGAACGGGUGAGUAACACGUGAGUAACCUGCCCUUGACUUUGGGAUAACUUCAGGAAACUGGGGCUAAUACCGGAUAGGAGCUCCUGCUGCAUGGUGGGGGUUGGUAAGUUUCGGCGGUUGGGGAUGGACUCGCGGCUUAUCAGCUUGUUUGUGGGGUAGUGGCUUACCAAGGCUUUGACGGGUAGCCGGCAUGAGAGGGUGACCGGCCGCAAUGGGACUGAGAGACGGCCCAGACGCCAACGGGAGGCAGAAGUGGGGAAUAUUGCACAAUGGGCGGAAGCGUGAUGCAGCAACGCCGCGAGCGGGAUGACGGCCUUCGGGUUGUAAACAGCUUUCGCCUGUGACGAAGCGUGAGUGACGGUAAUGGGUAAAGAAGCACCGGCUAACUACGUG
rnacentral:rRNA from 1 species